UACGUAGGGCGCAAGCGUUUGUCCGGAAUUAUUGGGCGUAAAGAGCUCGUAGGCGGCUUGUCACGUCGGGUGUGAAAGCCCGGGGCUUAACCCCGGGUCUGCAUUCGAUACGGGCUAGCUAGAGUGUGGUAGGGGAGAUCGGAAUUCCUGGUGUAGCGGUGAAAUGCGCAGAUAUCAGGAGGAACACCGAUGGCGAAGGCAGGUCUCUGGGCCACUACUGACGCUGAGAAGCGAAAGCAUGGGGAGCGAACAGG
rnacentral:rRNA from 1 species